ensembl:lncRNA
GGGUCAUUGUAGGGUCAUCAUAGCAUGGCUAUAGGGUCAUUGUGGGGUCAUCAUGGCACGGCUAUGGGGUCAUCAUAGGGUCAUCGGGGCACGGGUAUGGGGUCACUGUAGGGUCAUCAUGGCACGGGUAUGGGGUCACUGUAGGGUCAUCGGGGCACAGCCAUAGGGUCAUUGUAGGGUCAUCAUGACACGGCUAUGGGGUCAUCAUAGGGUCAUCGGGGCACGGGUAUGGGGUCACUGUAGGGUCAUCAUGGCACGGCUAUGGGGGCACUGUAGGGUCAUCGAGGCAUGGGUAUGGGGUCAUUGUAGGGUCAUCGGGGCAUGGGUAUGGGGUCAUUGUAGGGUCAUCAUGGCAUGGCUAUGGGGUCAUCAUAGGGUCAUCGGGGCACGGAUAUGGGGUCAUCUUAGGGUCAUCGGGGCACGGAUAUGGGGUCACUGUAGGGUCAUCGGGGCACGGGUAUGGGGUCAUCGUAGGGUCAUCAUGGCACGGGUAUGGGGUCAUCAUAGGGUCAUCAGGGCACGGCUAUGGGGUCACUGUAGGGUCAUCGAGGCAUGGGUAUGGGGUCAUUGUAGGGUCAUCGGGGCAUGGGUAUGGGGUCACUGUAGGGUCAUCAGGGCACGGAUAUGGGGUCAUUGUAGGGUCAUCGGGGCACGGAUAUGGGGUCACUGUAGGGUCAUCGGGACACGGAUAUGGGGUCAUUGUAGGGUCAUCAUGGCACGGCUAUGGGGUCACUGUAGGGUCAUCGGGGCACGGGUAUGGGGUCAUUGUAGGGUCAUCAGGGCACGGAUAUGGGGUCAUCAUAGGGUCAUCGGGGCACGGCUAUGGGGUCACUGUAGGGUCAUCGGGGCACGGCUAUGGGGUCACUGUAGGGUCAUCGGGGCACGGAUAUGGGGUCAUUGUAGGGUCAUCGGGGCAUGGAUAUGGGGCCAUCGUAGGGUCAUCAUGGCAUGGCUAUGGGGUCAUCAUAGGGUCAUCGGGGCACGGGUAUGGGGUCACUGUAGGGUCAUCGGGGCACAGGUAUGGGGUCAUUGUAGGGUCAUCUGGGCACGGGUAUGGGGUCACUGUAGGGUCAUCAUGGCAUGGCUAUAGGGUCAUUGUAGGGUCA